rnacentral:rRNA from 1 species
CAAUAGCGUAUAUUAUAGUUAUUGCAGUUAAAAAGCUCGUAGUUGGAUUUCUGGUCGGAAGCUCCUGUCCUCUGAUGAGCGUACAAGUGCGUCCUACCAUCCUUCUGUUAACCUUUAAGGCUUUCGCGGCUUUCUAGGGGCUCAGAUAUUUUACCUUGAGAAAAUUAGAGUGUUUCAGGCAGGCUAGCGCCGGAAUACAUUAGCAUGGAAUAAUGGAAUAGGACUUUUGCCUCUUCUGUUGGUCAUGAGGCUCGAGUAAUGAUUAAUAGGGAUAGUUGGGGGCAUUAGUACUUAACUGUCAGAGGUGAAAUUCUCGGAUUUGUUAAAGACUAACUUAUGCGAAAGCAUUUGCCAAGGAUGUUUNCAUUAA